rnacentral:rRNA from 1 species
UACGAAGGGGGCUAGCGUUGCUCGGAAUCACUGGGCGUAAAGCGCACGUAGGCGGCUUUUUAAGUCAGAGGUGAAAUCCUGGAGCUCAACUCCAGAACUGCCUUUGAUACUGGAGAGCUUGAGUCCGGGAGAGGUGAGUGGAACUGCAAGUGUAGAGGUGAAAUUCGUAGAUAUUCGCAAGAACACCAGUGGCGAAGGCGGCUCACUGGCCCGGUACUGACGCUGAGGUGCGAAAGCGUGGGGAGCAAACAGG